AGCAGCCGCGGUAAUUCCAGCUCCAAUAGCGUAUAUUAAAGUCGUUGCAGUUAAAAAGCUCGUAGUUGAAUUUCGGAAUCAAUAUGCCGGUCAUGCCUUGGUAUGCACUGGUAUCUUUGAUUUCUCCCUUCUGACGAACUUUGAUGUCAUUAAUUUGGUGUCAUAGGGAAUCAGGACUGUUACUUUGAAAAAAUUAGAGUGUUUAAAGCAAGCUCACGCUUGAAUACAUUAGCAUGGAAUAAUGAAAUAGGACGUUUGAUUCUAUUUUGUUGGUUUCUAGGAUCGACGUAAUGAUUAAUAGGGAUAGUUGGGGGCAUUAGUAUUCAAUUGUCAGAGGUGAAAUUCUUGGAUUUAUUGAAGACUAACUACUGCGAAAGCAUUUGCCAAGGAUGUUUUCAUUAAUUCAAGAACGAAAGUUAGGGGAUCGAAGAAGAUCAGAUACCGUCGUAG
rnacentral:rRNA from 1 species